rnacentral:rRNA from 1 species
UACAGAGGGUGCGAGCGUUAAUCGGAUUUACUGGGCGUAAAGCGUGCGUAGGCGGCUUUUUAAGUCGGAUGUGAAAUCCCUGAGCUUAACUUAGGAAUUGCAUUCGAUACUGGGAGGCUAGAGUAUAGGAGAGGAUGGUAGAAUUCCAGGUGUAGCGGUGAAAUGCGUAGAGAUCUGGAGGAAUACCGAUGGCGAAGGCAGCCAUCUGGCCUAAUACUGACGCUGAGGUACGAAAGCAUGGGGAGCAAACAGGAUUAGAUACCCUGGUAGUCCAUGCCGUAAACGAUGUCUACUAGCCGUUGGGGCCUUUGAGGCUUUAGUGGCGCAGCUAACGCGAUAAGUAGACCGCCUGGGGAGUACGGUCGCAAGACUAAAACUCAAAUGAAUUGACGGGGGCCCGCACAAGCGGUGGAGCAUGUGGUUUAAUUCGAUGCAACGCGAAGAACCUUACCUGGUCUUGACAUAGUAAGAACUUUCCAGAGAUGGAUUGGUGCCUUCGGGAACUUACAUACAGGUGCUGCAUGGCUGUCGUCAGCUCGUGUCGUGAGAUGUUGGGUUAAGUCCCGCAACGAGCGCAACCCUUUUCCUUAUUUGCCAGCGGGUUAAGCCGGGAACUUUAAGGAUACUGCCAGUGACAAACUGGAGGAAGGCGGGGACGACGUCAAGUCAUCAUGGCCCUUACGACCAGGGCUACACACGUGCUACAAUGGUCGGUACAAAGGGUUGCUACCUAGCGAUAGGAUGCUAAUCUCAAAAAGCCGAUCGUAGUCCGGAUUGGAGUCUGCAACUCGACUCCAUGAAGUUCGGAAUCGCUAGUAAUCGCGGAUCAGAAUGCCGCGGUGAAUACGUUCCCGGGCCU